GAUGUCGAUGACGUAAUGUAUUAUGAUUAUCUGCGAAUUGCUGAAUGCCCGUCUUACUAUAUUUUUACAAGUAGGGCAUGUUAUUUAAAUGACUUCUGUCACAUCUAUCUUGUGUAGUAGAUUUAUAUUGAAACAUACCUAAAAAUAUAAUCUUAUUUAGGAAUUGUAAAAUUACAUUAUGAUGUUCGUGAUGUUAUUUAUUAACAAUCUUAUUCAUGCUCACAUCGCUUCAUGAAUCGUAUUUUUUUGCACAGUACAUUUUGGCAUCGUUCAAGUACUGUGACCUUUGUCUGUAUUGAAGUAUGUUGUAGGGCGGCAAUGCUUGUAAUAGACGAGAAACGAACAGGGUUAAUCGAUUGUUUAACUUUUUUCAAUUUUUAGAUUUGCGAAUGUCAAUUGUUUCCAGUCUGUAAUGUUUCAUUGUU